UACAGAGGUCCCAAGCGUUGUUCGGAUUCACUGGGCGUAAAGGGUGCGUAGGUGGUCGGAUAAGUUUGAUGUGAAAUCUCCGGGCUUAACCCGGAAACUGCAUUGAAUACUAUCUGGCUGGAGGGUUGGAGGGGGGACUGGAAUACUUGGUGUAGCAGUGAAAUGCGUAGAUAUCGAGAGGAACACCUGCGGCGAAGGCGGGUUGCUGGGCUGACACUGACGCUGAUGCGCGAAAGCUAGGGGAGCGAACGGG
rnacentral:rRNA from 1 species